GCAGAUUAUGUCCUUCCAUUUAGAGAGACUAUUGCCAAUAAAUUCAGUAGAUGGAAGACUGGAUGUUGAUCCAGUCAGGCUUACCAACAUGUGAUGAUUCACUCAGAAGCUGUGUGAAAUACUCCUUCGUGACAAUUACUAAGACCGACUGUUUAAAUUCCUCUGACCAUCAAUAUGGAAGCCAUCCAGAAGAACAGGAUUUUGCUGAGUAAUGAGGGGAGCAUAUAGAUAAUCUCUAAAAUACCCAUGUCCUUGGGGCCAGUCUGUGGUACCUAAUUUCAAGUUGUCUAAACUUUAGCUCCUUUCUUAUCUCUAAGCUUCAGGAUGUCCUGCAAACACAGUCAAUCUGCCUCAGUUAUCACAGCAGGGGGCUAAAGGGCAGGGCCUGUGAUUCAGAAGGAAUUCAGCAGAGACAAGCAGUGGGCGGAUGUGGUGGCCGCUGAAUGGCAGGAGAUGAUGGGUCCAAGGAUGCAGCAUUGGUUGAGCUAUCAGUGACUGAGGAAUGAUUAAUAAAACAUGUAAACAUUCCCCAGAGAAUUCCCAGAAAUACACAGAGAGCAGAACUUGGUAACAGACUUUCCUCUCUGAAGAUAAGUAAAUUGCAUAUUAAAGGGAACUGUGACCUCACAGACUGAUGAAAUUUGAGACACUUAAGCUGCAUAUGCUGCUUCUGGGCUAUGAGUUCUGUGUCAUAUCUUAGCUUCCUUUUUCAGACAAUACAUCUUUGAUGAUCGAAAACAACAACAGCCUGAAAAAGUUCCUUGUAGUUCUAAGAGCCCAAUAGUCCAGAAUACAGUCUUUAUUAUGUUCUUCUCUGGAUAAAAGAACUGGUGGACUUUAGAACAUAAUCCAAGAAUGAAGAAAACAAAAAUCUCAAAACCUACCUUUAGGAACAAAAAGGGCACAUAGCAGGAAGCUGAAAUAUAGACCGCCUUCUGAGAGCACGGAGAACAUUUAGCAAAAAGUGGAAAAUCUGACAAUACUGUACAGUCACAGUCUUCCUCUCCAUAACAAUAAUUUUUCCUCCUCUCACUAAAAUAGAGCAAUUUUUAUUGUCACAAGCACAUGUGUAUUACUGGCAAUAAGGAUAUAGCUGUAUAGGACACCUCCUUAAACAUCUUCUUUAUUUUAAGAUUCAGUUAGGGGGAAAUGACUAGGCGUUCCCAGCACUUUCUGGUUGCCACGGAUACCUGUCAUCCACAUCCAGAGCCUGCAGGUUACACUCAGCGACUCUUGCCAGCUCAUGAAUAAUAUCGCUGAAGCCCGCUGCUGCUGCGAUAUGUACACAUGUCUUCCCACUCUCAUCAUCAUAGUUGAUUAUGGACGGCCCCUGGUGAUGGCUCAGGAUGAUGGAGCACAGAAUCCUAUUUCCACUCUGGAAAAGAGAGUCAAAGAAAGCUCAUUAUGUACAAUCCAGUGUUCUUCUCUGUCUAGGCAUGUUAAGAUAAAAACACAAAGGAGAAAAAGGAAAAAGAAAGAAAGAAAGAAAAAAGAUGAAAAGAGAAAAGAAAAUGGAAAAAAAGAAUAAAAAUACAUUCUAUCUAAGCUCUCCAACAAAUUUCCACUUGUUUCAAGUCACUGCAGAGAUUUUUGUCUCCCAUAGGAGCUAAGUUGUCUUCUAUAAUUAGCGAACGAAGGAUGGACUGAAAUUAAAUACAUGUGCAAUGGACUGACAUCAGAGCUAGAGUGAUGGAUGGGCCACCUAGACAGCAACUUGCUCAUUAGGUCUGAUCAUUUGUGCCCCCAUUUGCUGUAGAGGCUGACCACCAGGAAACUGACAGAGUUCAUCUUAAUGUUAAAGAAGUGACCAUGAUGAGUACUGACUGGUGGUGCAAUGAUGCAGGAAAAAAGCUUGUUCCUGGGUAGGGCGAGCAGGGGGCUGAGAAUUUGUCCCAGGGAGCCUGGGAAGCAGAACUGUCUGAGCAGAGGCUAUACUCUUGUAUCAGACUUCCUUUACAAAAACAAUUAAAAGAUAAAGUGAGAAUUUCCA